GACCUCGGAUCAGGUAGGGAUACCGCUGAACUUAGC
rnacentral:rRNA from 1 species